rnacentral:rRNA from 1 species
CGCCCGUCGCUCCUACCGAUUGAAUGAUUUAGUGACGUCUUCGGAACGAUGUCCGGCGCGGCCUUUCGGUUGCGCAUGUCUGUUGGAAAGAUGACCAAACUUGAUCAUUUAAAGCAAGUAAAAGUCGUAACAA